GCUCCAGUAGCCUAGUGGUUAGGGUGUCCGUCUCGGAUGCGUGUGGUCGCAGGUUCCAACCUCGGCCGAGUA